rnacentral:rRNA from 1 species
GACGAACGCUGGCGGCGUGCUUAACACAUGCAAGUCGAACGGAAAGGCCCUGCUGUUGUGGGGUUCUCGAGUGGCGAACGGGUGAGUAACAAGUGAGUAACCUGCCCUUGACUUUGGGAUAACUUCAGGAAACUGGGGCUAAUACCGGAUAGGAGCUCCUGCUGCAUGGAGGGGGGUGGAAAGUUUCGGCGGUUGGGUAUGGACUCGCGGGUUAGCAGCUUGUUGGGGGGGUAGUGGCUUACCAAGUGUUUGACGGGUAGACGGCCUGAGAGGGGGACCGGCGACAUUGGGACUGAGGUACGGCACAGACUCCUACGGGAGGCAGCAGGGGGGAAUAUUGCACAAUGGGCGGAAGCCUGAUGCAGCAACGCCGGGUGCGGGAUGACGGCCUUCGGGUUGUAAACCGCUUUCGCCUGUGACGAAGCGUGAGUGACGGUAAUGGGUAAAGAAGCACCGGCUAACUACGUG